rnacentral:rRNA from 1 species
GACGAAGGGGGCUAGCGUUGUUCGGAAUUACUGGGCGUAAAGCGCGUGUAGGCGGUUGCCCAAGUCGGGUGUGAAAGCCUUGAGCUCAACUCAAGAAAUGCACUCGGUACUGGGUGACUAGAGGACCGGAGAGGAUAGUGGAAUUCCCAGUGUAGUGGUGAAAUACGUAGAGAUUGGGAAGAACACCAGUGGCGAAGGCGGCUAUCUGGACGGUUUCUGACGCUAAGACGCGAAAGCGUGGGGGAGCAAACAGG